CAACUCAAAAGCAAAGAAAGAAAGAAUGAAACGGGUAUGAAAGAUGUUAAGUGAGUAACUGCCAUAGUUGUUAUCAUUGUUUCUUCCAGGGAUUAUUGGCAAAUUGGAAUUGCUAAUGCUUUGGCCUGAUACUCUUGGUCUCUGAAGAAGCAAAUUUAUAGGGUCACUGUCCUAAGUCUACUACAAUUGUAAAUCAUUCAAAGAUGCAAACUGACAAAUAUCAACUAGAGGAGAGAACAAAUCAGAUCAAGGAUGGCAAACAAGAGUCAUCUUGACUACCAAGUGCUGCAAGAAGCC
rnacentral:lncRNA from 1 species